GACGGGUACACUGUGGGGACCGCCGCUGCUAAAGCGGAGGAAGGAAUGGGCAACGGUAGGUCAGUAUGCCCCGAAUAUCCCGGGCUACACGCGAGCUACAAUGGUUGGUACAAUGGGUAUCUACCCCGAAAGGGGACGGGAAUCUCCUAAAACCAAUCUUAGUUCAGAUUGAGGGCUGCAACUCGCCCUCAUGAAGCUGGAAUCCGUAGUAAUCGCGUUUCAACAGAACGCGGUGAAUACGUCCCUGCUCCUU
rnacentral:rRNA from 1 species